rnacentral:rRNA from 1 species
GACGAACGCUGGCGGCGUGCUUAACACAUGCAAGUCGAACGGAAAGGCCCUGCUUUUGUGGGGUGCUCGAGUGGCGAACGGGUGAGUAACACGUGAGUAACCUGCCCUUGACUUUGGGAUAACUUCAGGAAACUGGGGCUAAUACCGGAUAGGAGCUCCUGCUGCAUGGUGGGGGUUGGAAAGUUUCGGCGGUUGGGGAUGGACUCGCGGCUUAUCAGCUUGUUGGUGGGGUAGUGGCUUACCAAGGCUUUGACGGGUAGCCGGCCUGUGAGGGUGACCGGCCACAUUGGGACUGAGAUACGGCCCAGACUCCUACGGGAGGCAGCAGUGGGGAAUAUUGCACAAUGGGCGGAAGCCUGAUGCAGCAACGCCGCGUGCGGGAUGACGGCCUUCGGGUUGUAAACCGCUUUAGCCUGUGACGAAGCGUGAGUGACGGUAAUGGGUAAAGAAGCACCGGCUAACUACGUG